rnacentral:rRNA from 1 species
CAAGGAAUUUUCGGCAAUGGGCGCAAGCCUGACCGAGCAACGCCGCGUGGAGGAUGACGGCUUUCGGGUUGUAAACUCCUUUUGGGUGGGACGAUAAUGACGGUACCAUCCGAAUCAGACCCGGCUAACUACGUGCCAGCAGCCGCGGUAAUACGUAGGGGUCGAGCGUUGUCCGGACUUACUGGGCGUAAAGCGUGGGUAGGUGGCCGAUGAUGUGCCGUGUGAAAGCGCCGCGCUUCUCGCGGCGAGGUCGCGGUAGACACAUCGGCUCGAGGCACGGAGAGGGGCGUAGAAUUCCCGGUGUAGUGGUGAAAUGCGUAGAUAUCGGGAGGAAUACCAGUGGCGCAAGCGGCGCCCUGGCCGUGACCUGACACUGAGCCACGACGGCGUGGGGAGCAAACG